UACGAAGGGUGCAAGCGUUAUUCGGAAUGAUUGGGCGUACAGGGUGCGCAGGCGGUAUAUUAAGUCAACUGUCAAAGACCUCAGCCUAACUGAGGGUCGGCGGUAGAUACUGGUAUGCUAGAGGGUGGAAGAGAGAAGUGGAAUUCUUGGAGUAGCGGUAAAAUGCGUAGAUCUCAAGAGGAACACCGAUGGCGAAGGCAGCUUCUUGGUCCAUUCCUGACGCUCAUGCACGAAAGCGUGGGGAGCAAACAGG
rnacentral:misc_RNA from 1 species